CCUACGGGAGGCAGCAGUGAGGAAUAUUGGUCAAUGGACGUAAGUCUGAACCAGCCAAGUCGCGUGAGGGAUGACGGCUCUAUGGAUCGUAAACCUCUUUUAUACGGGAAUAAAGUGCGGGACGUGUCCCGUUUUGUAUGUACCUUAUGAAUAAGGAUCGGCUAACUCCGUGCCAGCAGCCGCGGUAAUACGGAGGAUCCGAGCGUUAUCCGGAUUUAUUGGGUUUAAAGGGUGCGUAGGCGGCCGUUUAAGUCAGCGGUGAAAGCCUGGGGCUCAACAACGGAAUUGCCGCUGAUACUGGGAGGCUAGAGGAUGGUUGAGGCAGGCGGAAUGUGUGGUGUAGCGGUGAAAUGCUUAGAUAUCACGCAGAACCCCGAUUGCGAAGGCAGCUGGCCAAGCUAUGACUGACGCUGAUGCACGAAAGCGUGGGGAUCAAACAGGAUUAGAUACCCUUGUAGUC
rnacentral:rRNA from 1 species